rnacentral:rRNA from 1 species
AAGAGUACGUGAAACCGUUCAGGGGUAAACCUGCGAAACUCGAAUGAACGAACGGAGAGAUUCAUCGUCAUUUCGCGGCGUACGCGGGCGUUUCACGAUGUCGUCGCACGGUGGACUCGUUUCAACGUGGCAGGCGGCACGGUGCGCUCGCGUCGACGUUCGCGGACGGCGUGCACUUCUCUCCAAGUAAUGCAUCGCGACCCGUUCGAUGUCUGUCUAAGCGCCGCGUCGGGAGUCCGACGGUGGUCGUUCACGCGUCGACCGUCGGACCGGUGUCCGGUCGCCGACAGGCUGUCGGACGGUAUAGUGACGAAACGCGCACGCGUUUACAACGCGUCCAGGCCCGACGCAAGGUUCAAAGUGACGUGCUCUCGAGCCACCGCCGCAAGUGCGGUACUCGACACGUCGCGCCUGUCGUCGCAGCCGUGUGUCUCGGACCGUGCGCGUCUCGGUCGGCGAUGAUUCCAGUUUCGGG